GAUGAACGCUGGCGGCGUGCCUAAUACAUGCAAGUCGAGCGAACAGAUGAGGAGCUUGCUCCUCUGACGUUAGCGGCGGACGGGUGAGUAACACGUGGAUAACCUACCUAUAAGACUGGGAUAACUUCGGGAAACCGGAGCUAAUACCGGAUAAUAUAUUGAACCGCAUGGUUCAAUAGUGAAAGACGGUUUUGCUGUCACUUAUAGAUGGAUCCGCGCCGCAUUAGCUAGUUGGUAAGGUAACGGCUUACCAAGGCAACGAUGCGUAGCCGACCUGAGAGGGUGAUCGGCCACACUGGAACUGAGACACGGUCCAGACUCCUACGGGAGGCGGCAGUAGGGAAUCUUCCGCAAUGGGCGAAAGCUUGACGGAGCAACGCCGCGUGAGUGAUGAAGGUCUUCGGAUCGUAAAACUCUGUUAUUAGGGAAGAACAAAUGUGUAAGUAACUAUGCACGUCUUGACGGUACCUAAUCAGAAAGCCACGGCUAACUACGU
rnacentral:rRNA from 1 species